rnacentral:rRNA from 1 species
GAUACCCUAUUAUUAUAAAAGUGAAUUUUUGUACUUAGAUUAUUAAAAGUUAAGUUCUUUAAAAUUAAAAAAUUUGGCGGUAUUUUAGUCUGUUCAGAGGAACCUGUUUUUUAAUCGAUAAUCCACGAUGAAUUUUACUUUAGCUUUAAAUUUAUAUAUCGUUGUUUGUAAAAAUUCUAGGAGGAGAAAAAUUUUUUGGAUUUUUAAUUAUGAAGGAUUUCAGAUCAAGGUGUAGUUUAUGCUGGAGUUAGAAUGGGUUACAUUGUAUUUAUAUUUGGAAUUUUAUUUUAAAAGUUAAAUGUAAAAUGGAUUUGAUAGUAAAUUCUUUAUUUAUGGGAGUUGAUUUAGCUCUAUAAUAUGCACACAUCGCC